rnacentral:lncRNA from 1 species
UUUAUGUCCUAUGGCACAAAAGUAUAAACUACUAGCAUGGAUCUUGCUUCCAUGGUUGUCGGUAACUUUUGCUAAACUUGUGCAACAUUAACAAAUAUUAACAUUGAGGUACUGGGAGUCUGACACCAUUCCAUCCAUGACAGAGGUCGUGCGAAGCAUAUUCGAGUCAAAGUGUUGUGAACUAGCCUUUAGUACUCCUUCUGUGUUUUUAGAAUCGCUGAGACAAGAUUGGAUGAGUUGCAAAAGGGGCGUCAAAGCAGUUUUGACUUAUAAGUAUUAUCUACACCACAUCCAACCAAACAGCACUAUAUAAAAUUAUAACCUGAUUCAAAUAUUUUUUUUAUACACGGCUUUCUUAACCAUUACAUUUUAGUUGUUCAAUAUAUUACUU